GUGCGCGAAAUGACAAAAACAUUAAAUUCAAUUGAAUUUUAUAAAAACAACUCUAACUAUUAAAUUCAUGUAACAAUUGUAGUGAAUUUAGGCUAGUUAUCAUAUUCUUUAUUAUUGUCUUUUUCUAGUUGCUUUUUGGUAACCUUUUCCAUCGUCUUAAAAUCCUGGUGGAGGUUGGAACUAUCUUGAGAGAGAAAGGACACUAUCAUUUCACAUCUGCAUGCAUGUUACAGGUACCUUUGGUAACCCUUUCCAUCGUCUUAAUAUCCUGGUAGAGACUGGAACUACCUUGAUGGAUAAAGGAUGCUCUGAUUCCACAUCUGCCCGCAUGUUACAGGUACCUUUGGUAACCCUUUCCAUCGUCUUAAUAUCCUGGUAGAGACUGGAACUACCUUGAUGAAAAAAGGAUGCUCUGAUUCCACAUCUGCCCGCAUG